rnacentral:rRNA from 1 species
ACGGAAGGCAGCAGUGGGGGAUAUUGCACAAUGGGGGAAACCCUGAUGCAGCGACGCCGCGUGAGUGAUGAAGUAUUUCGGUAUGUAAAGCUCUAUCAGCAGGGAAGAAAAUGACGGUACCUGACUAAGAAGCUCCGGCUAAAUACGUGCCAGCAGCCGCGGUAAUACGUAUGGAGCAAGCGUUAUCCGGAUUUACUGGGUGUAAAGGGAGCGUAGACGGCGUGGCAAGUCUGAUGUGAAAGCUAUGGGCUCAACCCAUAAACUGCAUUGGAAACUGUCAUGCUAGAGUGUCGGAGAGGUAAGCGGAAUUCCUAGUGUAGCGGUGAAAUGCGUAGAUAUUAGGAGGAACACCAGUGGCGAAGGCGGCUUACUGGACGAUAACUGACGUUGAGGCUCGAAAGCGUGGGGAGCGAACAGGAUUAGAUACCCUGGUA